rnacentral:rRNA from 1 species
GACGAACGCUGGCGGCGUGCCUAAUACAUGCAAGUCGAACGCAGUGGGGACGGGUGAGUAAAACGUGGGUAACCUCCCAUCAGAGGGGAUAACACUUGGAAACAGGUGCUAAACCGAUACUGAUGGAUGGACCCGCGGUGCAUUACCUAGUGGGUGAGGUAACGGCUCACCAAGGCCACGAUGCAUAGCCGACCUGAGAGGUUGAUCGGCCACUCUGAGAGUUAGACACGGCCCAGACUCCUACGGGCGGCAGCAGUAGGGCAUCUUCGGGAACUGACGAAAGUUGGUCAGGGCCACGCCGCUUGAGUGAAGAUGGUUUUCGGAUCGUAAAACUCUGAUGUUAGAGAAGCGGUAUCUAACCAGAAAGCCACGGCUAACUACGUGCCAGCCGCCGCGGUGAUAC